rnacentral:rRNA from 1 species
AUUGAACGCUGGCGGCAGGCCUAACACAUGCAAGUCGAACGAGUGGCGGACGGGUGCGUAAUGUAUGGGAAACUGCCUGAUGGAGGGGGAUAACUACUGGAAACGGUAGCUAAUACCGCAUACCAUCAGCUGUGCCCAGGUGGGAUUAGCUGGUUGGUGGGGUAACGGCUCACCAAGGCGACGAUCCCUAGCUGGUCUGAGAGGAUGACCAGCCACCCUGGAACUGAUGCACGGUCCAGACGCCUACGAGAGGAAGCAGGGGGGAAGAUGGCACAAUGGGCGGAAGCCUGAUGCAGCCAUGCCGCGUGUAUGAAGAGGGCCUGCGGGUUGUAAAGUUCUUUCAGCGGGGAGGCGUUACCCGCAGAAGAAGCACCGGCUAACUCCGUGCCAGCAGCCGCGGUAAUUC